GAGGGUAAGGGGUGGCUGUAGAAUAACUUGAAGACCUUCAGGACUCAAGCUAAGGGGACAUAAAGGGACACAGAAGGAACCACAAACACCUUCCAUUUUAAAUCUGCCCUGGCCAAGACAUCUGGCGAAGAGGAGGAGGAAAUCUCACUCUUUUCUCCCCUUUUGAAUCACUUGGCCCUUAUUCUCAGGACCCAGAAAUCACAUUAUAUCAAAGCAAAUAUAUUAUGGAUUAAAUAGGCGUUUGCAGGUCGUCUAGCCUGUCAACAGGCUUCUCCUAACCUGUCACGAACAUGGUUGUGUACAACCAGGAGUUAGGAGUUGUGAGGCUCAAACUAGGGAAAGGACAUCUUUAUGACUCCUAGGAGUCGAAGAGAGAGAACACAACAAUAUAAAAAGACAACCCUACAGGCAAUAUUACAAAUGCCACAGGAAGAUCACAGAACAAGAAAUAAAAUAAUACUAAAAGAGCUUAGAACACAAAGGGAGCUCGGGGCUGGGAGGUCUGAGAGUCUCAGAAUGUGGUGGCAGCAGGUGACAGUUGGAAUUUUACGGUUAGAAGAAAUGUGCACGGAAGAUACUGCAUACCACUAUCUACAUAGGAGGUUUUCUAUUGAUGAAGUCUCGUUCUAUCGCCCAGGCUGGAGUGCAGUGGCGUGAUCUCAGCUCACUGGAACCUCCACGUCCUGGCUUCCAGUGAUUCUCCUGCUUCAGCCUCCUGAGUAGCUGGGAUUACAGGCACCCGCCACGACGCCUGGCAAAUUUUUGUAUUUUUAGUAGAGACAGGGUUUCACCAUGUUGGCCAGGCUGGUCUUGAACUCCUGACCUGACUGAAGCAAACUGCCCGCCUCGGCCUCCCAAAGUGCUGGGAUUAGAGGUGUGAGCUACUGCGCCCAGCCAAAUCUAUUUUUUAAACAAUAGAACCCCUGAUUUAAUUGAUACCUGACAUGGAAGUCUAACACUCACAGCAGAUAAAGUGAAAUUGCUAUGCCUAGAAUGUGUGUGGGAGUGUGGGGGGACAAGAGCCCUUUCCACUCAGCUCUCUCCCUUUUCUCUGUGCCCUCCGCAAUCCCUGCAGCCCUGGAGGGCUUUGAAACACUUGAAGGAUCCACUGGACACAGACUGAAAACCACUAAUUUCUAAGUCCUAAUGGAAAACUACCGAGGGUUUGAGCAAGAGUGUUAUUUAAUCGAAGCACUAUUUUAGGAAGAUAAAUCUGACAAGAUGGAUUGUAGAGAAGCCAAGAAGCAGGGAGACCAAUUAAGAGAUUAUUGAAAAAAUUCAGGCCAAAUUAACAUAGGUUCUGGGGAAUGACUGAAGGUGGGGGUAAAAAGAGAGAGACACCUGGGAUGGCUUCAAGGUUUAAUGCUGCACGACUGCAACAUUAAUUAAUAGACUGAAGAUACCUGUAAGGUCUCCUGGAUCAUCCCUCUUUUAUGGGAGGCAAAACGUCUCCAAAAUGACCACAAGGUGCCUCUGUUCUUUAAGAGGGCAGUCAACUGUUUAACAUUUUUCCAAAAAUGUACAUUUUACCUCAGUUGAUAAAUUAUAUGUGCUCCUUAACAAGCUUGUUUAGAAAGUUGUUUGUUAUGGAACUGACUUACACAAACC
rnacentral:lncRNA from 1 species